AGGUGGUGCAUGGUUGUCGUCAGCUCGUGUCGUGAGAUGUUGGGUUAAGUCCCGCAACGAGCGCAACCCUCGUUCUGUGUUGCUACAUUAAGUUGAGCACUCUCAGGAGACUGCCCGUGGUAAACGGGAGGAAGUGGGACGACGUCAAAUCAUCAUGCCCCUUAUGUUCUGGGCUACACACAUGAUACAAUGGCCGAUACAAAGGGUUGCCAACCCGCAAGGGGGAGCUAAUCUCAAAAAAUCGGUCCCAGUUCGGAUUGUAGGCUGCAACUCGCCUGCAUGAAGAUGGAAUUGCUAGUAAACGCAGAUCAGCAUGCUGCGUUGAAUACGUUCCCGGGCCUU
rnacentral:rRNA from 1 species